CUCCAUGUAUCUUUGGGCCAACCAGCUGUGGCGGUCUCCCUUCCAAGCCACAGAAGAGCACAUUCCUGCUUCCUGGAAAAGCCCUCGCCACGUAGUUGGUACCAGAGACGCCGAUUAGCACAAGGAGCAUCC
ensembl:snoRNA LOC120100363 small nucleolar RNA SNORA24